rnacentral:lncRNA from 1 species
AGUGGUCAUGGUUCCUCCUGUGACCAGUAAAAUUAUGAGAAUGAUAACUGACCUAUUAUUAUAUUUCAAAACUAUCUGAUAAUAUUUUGGGAAUGCAGAAUCAAUGGUUGGCUAACUCUCUUUAACCUCCUUUGAGUAGCUUAGUAAAUGACCGAUGCAGAAUAAGAAUGACCUCAUAAUCAUCUCAUUCCAUUCCCCGAACUUUCCCACUUCAGGCUUACCAGCCAUCAGGUAUCACGCGAGAAGCGGGCAGUCCAGAGCUGAAUGACACACAUGCUUAUUCUUUUCAGUAACCAACCUGCUAACGUUGCUUUUCUCCCCAAACUAUUCUUUCAAAGAUUGCCAGACACGAUCUAACACAUAAGAAGCCUCAGGAGAGCCAACAUGCUGUAAUUCCUAAGGAUCUAGGAGCACCAGAUGAUUGCAAACUAUGGGGAAGAUAUCCUAAAGAAAACAGGCCCUGUGAAGCUGUCAGUGAAGAAAUAACCCCUGAGGUCCCUGUAACUGCCAGUGGGUCCGAAUGCAAUUGCCAGACGACUUGAGACAUGGAAAG